rnacentral:rRNA from 1 species
CCAAUAGCGUAUAUUAAAGUUGUUGCAGUUAAAAAGCUCGUAGUUGAAUUUCGGGGUUAGUAGGUUGGUCAUGCCUCUGGUAUGUACUGGUCUCACUGAUUCCUCCUUCCUGAUGAACCUUAAUGCCAUUUAUUUGGUGUUUUGGGGAAUUUGGACUGUUACUUUGAAAAAAUUAGAGUGUUUAAAGCAAGCUAACGCUUGAAUACAUUAGCAUGGAAUAAUGAAAUAGGACGUUCGAUCCUAUUUUGUUGGUUUCUAGGAUUGACGUAAUGAUUAAUAGGGGUAGUUGGGGGCAUUAGUAUUCAAUUGUCAGAGGUGAAAUUCUUGGAUUUAUUGAAGACUAACUACUGCGAAAGCAUUUGCCAAGGAUGUUUUCAUUAAUCAAGAACGAAAGUUAGGGGAUCGAAGACGAUCAGAUACCGUCGUAGUCUUAACCAUAAACUAUGCCGACUAGGGAUCGGAUGAUGUUAAUUUUUUAAUGACUCAUUCGGCACCUUACG